AGUAGGGAAUCUUCCGCAAUGGGCGAAAGCCUGACGGAGCAACGCCGCGUGAGUGAUGAAGGUCUUCGGAUCGUAAAACUCUGUUAUUAGGGAAGAACAUAUGUGUAAGUAACUGUGCACAUCUUGACGGUACCUAAUCAGAAAGCCACGGCUAACUACGUGCCAGCAGCCGCGGUAAUACGUAGGUGGCAAGCGUUAUCCGGAAUUAUUGGGCGUAAAGCGCGCGUAGGCGGUUUUUUAAGUCUGAUGUGAAAGCCCACGGCUCAACCGUGGAGGGUCAUUGGAAACCGGAAAAGUGAGUGCAGAAGAGGAAAGUGGAAUUCCAAGGGCCUGGGGAGUCGCAGAGAUAUGGAGGAACACCCGUGGCGAAGGCGACUUUCUGGUCUGUAACUGACG
rnacentral:rRNA from 1 species